CCCAGACUCCUACGGGAGGCAGCAGUGGGGGAUAUUGCACAAUGGGGGGAACCCUGAUGCAGCGACGCCGCGUGGGUGAAGGAGCGUUUCGGCGCGUAAAGCCCUAUCGGCAGGGAAGAAGGAGGACGGUACCUGACUAAGAAGCCCCGGCUAACUACGUGCCAGCAGCCGCGGUAAUACGUAGGGGGCAAGCGUUAUCCGGAUUUACUGGGUGUAAAGGGGGCGCAGACGGCAGCGCAAGCCAGGAGUGAAAGCCCGGGGCCCAACCCCGGGACUGCUCUUGGAACUGCGCGGCUGGAGUGCAGGAGGGGCAGGCGGAAUUCCUGGUGUAGCGGUGAAAUGCGUAGAUAUUAGGAGGAACACCAGUGGCGAAGGCGGCCUGCUGGACGAUGACUGACGCUGAGGCUCGAAAGCGUGGGGAGCAAACAGGAUUAGAUACCCUAGUA
rnacentral:rRNA from 1 species